ACAUUAGUUUGAUUUAGUGGUAGAAUAGUACCCUGCCACAGUACAGACCCGGGUUCGAUUCCCGGCUGGUGCA